rnacentral:rRNA from 1 species
UUAAUUGAAGAGUUUGAUCAUGGCUCAGAUUGAACGCUGGCGGCAGGCCUAACACAUGCAAGUCGAGCGGCAGCACAGAGGAACUUGUUCCUUGGGUGGCGAGCGGCGGACGGGUGAGUAAUGCCUGGGAAAUUGCCCGGUAGAGGGGGGAUAACCAUUGGAAACGAUGGCUAAUACCGCAUAACCUCGCAAGAGCAAAGCAGGGGACCUUCGGGCCUUGCGCUACCGGAU